GACGUAGGGCGCGAGCGUUGUCCGGAUUUAUUGGGCGUAAAGAGCUCGUAGGCGGCUUGUCGCGUCGACCGUGAAAACUUGUGGCUCAACCCCAAGCCUGCGGUCGAUACGGGCAGGCUCGAGUUCGGUAGGGGAGACUGGAAUUCCUGGUGUAGCGGUGAAAUGCGCAGAUAUCAGGAGGAACACCGGUGGCGAAGGCGGAUCUCUGGGCCGAUACUGACGCUGAGGAGCGAAAGCGUGGGGAGCGAACAGG
rnacentral:rRNA from 1 species